UACGGAGGGUGCAAGCGUUAUCCGGAUUCACUGGGUUUAAAGGGUGCGUAGGAGGGCAGGUAAGUCAGUGGUGAAAUCUCCAAGCUUAACUUGGAAACUGCCGUUGAUACUAUCUGUCUUGAAUACCGUUGGAGGUGAGCGGAAUAUGUCAUGUAGCGGUGAAGUGCUUAGAUAUGACAUAGUAACACCAAUUGCGAAAGGCAGCUCGCUACAUCGAAUAUUGACUCUGAGGCACGAAAGCGUGGGGAUCAAACAGGAAUUAGAGUUACCCG
rnacentral:rRNA from 1 species